GACGAACGCUGGCGGCGUGCUUAACACAUGCAAGUCGAACGGAAAGGCCCUGCUUUUGUGGGGUGCUCGAGUGGCGAACGGGUGAGUAACACGUGAGUAACCUGCCCUUGACUUUGGGAUAACUUCAGGAAACUGGGGCUAAUACCGGAUAGGAGCUCCUGCUGCAUGGUGGGGGUUGGAAAGUUUCGGCGGUUGGGGAUGGACUCGCGGCUUAUCAGCUUGUUGGUGGGGUAGUGGCUUACCAAGGCUUUGACGGGUAGCCGGCCUGAGAGGGUGACCGGCCACAUGGGGACUGAGAUACGGCCCAGAAGCCUACGGGAGGCAGCAGUGGGGAAUAUGGCACAAUGGGCGGAAGCCUGAUGCAGCAACGCCGCGUGCGGGAUGACGGCCUUCGGGUUGUAAACCGCUUUCGCCUGUGACGAAGCGUGAGUGACGGUAAUGGGUAAAGAAGCACCGGCUAACUACGUG
rnacentral:rRNA from 1 species